UACAGGGGGUGCAAACGUUGCUCGGAAUCAUUGGGCGUAAAGCGCACGUAGGCGGUCUGUUAUGUCGGAUGUGAAAGCCCUUGGCUUAACUGAGGAAGUGCACCCGAAACUGGCAGGCUAGAGUACUAAAGAGGGUCGCGGGAUUCCCGGUGUAGAGGUGAAAUUCGUAGAUAUCGGGAGGAACACCGGUGGCGAAGGCGGCGACCUGGGUAGAUACUGACGCUGAGGUGCGAAAGCGUGGGGAGCAAACAGG
rnacentral:rRNA from 1 species